AAAGAGUGCGUAAUAGCUCACUGGUCGAGAGUAUCUGCGCCGAAGAUGUAACGGGGCUAAGACAUAAACCGAAGCUGCGGAAGAUACACUGUAUCUUGGUAGGAGAGCGUUCUGUAGGCCGUCGAAGGGAUGCCGCAAGGCCGUCCUGGAGGUAUCAGAAGCGAGAAUGCAGGAAUGAGUAGCGAGAAGGCGGGUGAGAAUCCCGCCGGCCGGAAGUCCAAGGUUUCCAGGGGAAGGCUUGUCCGCCCUGGGGAAGUCGGGACCUAAGCAUAAGCAAAAUUGUGACGGCGAAUGGAAAACAGGUUAAUAUUCCUGUACCGCUGUUAUCGCUUGAGAGACGGAGUGACGCAGGAAGGUAUGCGAGAAGGCUGACGGUUUAGCCUUUCUAAGGGCCCAGCGUGGGCGUGCAGGCAAAUCCGCACGCCUAAACGUGAGACCUGACGGGGAAGUGCAUUUGCAUAAGUCGCAGAUCCUACACUGCCAAGAAAAACUUCUAUCGAUGAGAAGCAGCGCCCGUACUGUAAACCGACACAGGUGGACAGAGUGAGAAACUUAAGGCCGACAGGAUAACUCUAGCUAAGGAACUCUGCAAAAUAGCCCCGUAACUUCGGGAGAAGGGGUGCCUAUAUUACUUGAGAAGAGAAACACUUCAAGGGGAAAUAGGUCGCAGUGAAGAGUCUCAAGCAACUGUUUACCAAAAACACAGGUCUAUGCUAAGCUGAAAGGCGACGUAUAUGGGCUGACACCUGCCCAGUGCCGGAAGGUUAAGAGGAGGAUUGAGAGAUCCGAAUUGAAGCCCCGGUGAACGGCGGCCGUAACUAUAACGGUCCUAAGGUAGCGAAAUUCCUUGUCGGGUAAGUUCCGACCUGCACGAAUGGUGAAAUGAUUUGAGAGCUGUCUUGGCUGGAGGCCUGGUGAAGUUGUAAUGUCGGUGAAGAUACCGACUACCUGCAGUAGGACGGAAAGACCCCGUGGAGCUUUACUGUAGCUUGGCAUUGGGUUUUGGCAAUGUGUGUAUAGGAUAGUUGGGAGACUUCGAAGUUAAGGCGUCAGUCUUUUCUGAGUCACUGUUGGAAUACCAACCAUAUGUUGUCGAAAUUCUAAUCCGCUUGCGGAGACAGUGCUAGGUGGGCAGUUUGACUGGGGCGGUCGCCUCCAAAAGAGUAACGGAGGCGUUCAAAGGUUCCCUCAGGUUGGAUGGAAAUCAACCUUCGAGUGCAAACGCAUAAGGGAGCUUGACUGCAAGACUGACGGGUCGAGCAGGUACGAAAGUAGGAGUUAGUGAUCCGGCGGUCCCUCAUGGAAGGGCCGUCGCUCAACGGAUAAAAGCUACCCCGGGGAUAACAGGCUGAUACUUCCCAAGAGUCCAUAUCGACGGAAGUGUUUGGCACCUCGAUGUCGGCUCGUCUCAUCCUGGGGCUGGAGAAGGUCCCAAGGGUUGGGCUGUUCGCCCAUUAAAGAGGCACGCGAGCUGGGUUCAGAACGUCGUGAGACAGUUCGGUCCCUAUCCACUGCAGGCGCUUGAAUACUGAAAAGUUCUGUCCUUAGUACGAGAGGACCGGGAUGGACAAACCUCUGAUGUAUCAGUUGUCACGCCAGUGGCACGGCUGAGUAGUCACGUUUGGUCAGGAUAAUCGCUGAAAGCAUCUAAGCGAGAAACCCCCUUUAAGAUGAGUAUUCACAGUAUCCACAGAGACUAUGUGGUCGAUAGGCUGGAGAUGUAAGUGCAGCAAUGCAUUCAGUUGACCAGUACUAAUAUUACUUAAGCUUUUUUAA
rnacentral:rRNA from 1 species